AUGAACACGCAUGAAAUUAUAAAGAGACACAUACAGAAGAGCCAACAAAGACGUUUUUAUGCAGUGCUUCCUGGGGCUUUUGUGCUAAUGACAAGGGUGGUUAUAAAAUGUUCUUCAAUUUCUACACAUCUUCUAAAAGGGUGUGGAAGCAAAAAGGUAUUUCUUCCACUUAAUGAAUAAGAUGAAAUCUUCAGAUUCACAAACUGACAUCUUAUGAAAACAAAUGAGCUACAGCUACACAUUCAAAUGUUAAUGGGAUCAAGAACAAGGACAGUCAACAGGAAUGUGCUCUUCCUAUUGUAGGGAAAAUUUACCCAGUAAAAUAACUGCAACAAUCUGAAAUUCCAUGCUAUUUAAUUAGUUCCCCAAAUGCUCAUGAGCAAGUACCUCCUCCUGAGAACAAUGAGUACCUCAAGGGGGUGAAUUGCUUGCUUCCCAAAAGGUUGUUAAUUGUCAAGAUUUACUGAAAAACCUUCACCUUGCUGUAUCCACUAUUCCUAAACUAUUAUAUUGGCUACAUUCCCCAGUCCCAACUAGACCUCAUUAUUGAAAUACCCACCAAAAAUCCAAGCUCCAAAAUUUUGUGAAUCUAUGACCUUCAUUUCCCCAACCCAAGAUAUUAUUAAGAUUCUUUCAGAAAGACACUCCAUUUUUUGUAAAAUUCAAUUUGUUUACUCAGUUUAUUUCAAUGGCCUUUGGAAGAAAGUGUGUAUCAAUAGAGAGAGGCCAUGAAAACCUCCUUUCUUCUAGGAUUUUGAUAAGUUUCCCCAUAUUGACCAGUUCAACGUGGCCUCCCAAAAAUUAUUCUGAUAUGUUAUAUUGUUGAUACUCUGUGAACAAUAAACUAUCCUCUGAUCCAACA
rnacentral:lncRNA from 1 species